rnacentral:rRNA from 1 species
UGCAGCAAUGUCGCGUGAGUGAAGAAGGCCCUUGGGUCGUAAAGCUCUUUUAUGGGGGAAGAUGAUGACGGUACCCCAAGAAUAAGCACCGGCUAACUAUGUGCCAGCAGCCGCGGUAAUACAUAGGGUGCGAGCGUUGUUCGGAAUUACUGGGCGUAAAGGGCGCGCAGGCGGAAUAGUAAGUCGGAGGUGAAAGCCCGGGGCUCAACCCCGGAGGGUCUUUCGAAACUGCUAAUCUAGAGAGGGUCAGGGGCCGGCAGAAUUCCUGGUGUAGAGGUGAAAUUCGUAGAUAUCAGGAGGAAUACCGGUGGCGAAGGCGGCCGGCUGGGGCCACUCUGACGCUGAGGCGCGAAAGCGUGGGGAGCAAACAGGAUUAGAUACCCUGGUAGUCCACGCCGUAAACGAUGAGCACUGGACGUCCGGAGGGUUCG